rnacentral:tRNA from 2 species
GGGGGCGUAGUUCAGUGGUAGAAUAGAGGUCUCCAAAACCUUUGACGGAAGUCCGAUUCUUCCCGCCCCUG